GCUCUCUUGUUAAGGACAUCCGAUAAAAUUGGAACGAUACAGAGAAGAUUAGCAUGACCUUGCACAAGAAUGAUAUGCACAAAUCGAGGAAUGGUCUAUUUAUUU